GUUCCUGUAUUUUUUGUGACAGUGAGGAGAAUGUGUAUUUGCUUUGCAAGAAACUAUGUAUGAUGGGGUUGGCUAAUUCAGAGGGACUCGAUCUUUUUGUUGUCUUCAUAUCCAACGAGGACAAACAGAUUCCACUAUGGCAUCAAAAGGCUAGCAAAAUGGGCGGGUUGGUAUUAUGGGACUAUCAUGUAAUCUGCAUUCAGUGUAAAGGAAAAGGCAAUGCUCUUCGUCAAGUAUGGGAUUUAGAUUCGACUCUCCCUUUUCCUUCUCCCCUAAACCAGUAUGUUGCUGAUGCCAUUCGGCCAUCAUUUCCUCUCAACUCUAAAUAUUCAAGGCUUUUCCGAGUGGUACAUGCUCCAAUCUUCCUUCGUUGCUUUGCAUCUGAUAGACGACACAUGAAGAAUCCUGAUGGAAACUGGAUUUCUCCACCACCUGCAUAUGAACCCAUUGUUGCUGAUGAUGGGACUGUGAACAACCUGGAUGAGUAUAUUCAGAUGCAUGCCAGAGAUGUGACUACAAAUUUGGGAGAUUUGGUCCAUGGGCUUUUCUCUGAAAAAUUGGGCGUGGUGGUAAAUGAAGCAGAGUUGUUGGACUUGUUUUCCCAAGUUCCUUGAUGAUUGGCGUUCAUCGCAUCCAUGAAGAUCAUCAUUUUGCAUUUUCUAAUCAAAUCCAACAAGACUUAAAAAGGACCAUUGAGUUGUCUUGCUGAUCGAUAAAAUCUGCUCAGGAGAUGAUUAAUAUGCCCAGAGAAUGAUGCAGACAUCAGUGGUGCACCCAUUAGAGUGUAUCAGAGGAGGAGGUGUCGCCGAUAGAGUACCAGAGUGGAGGAGUUGAUGUGGAUGGACACUAGGUCUAUCUGACUUAUUUUUUUAUGCGCUACGAGUGCAGGAGCCGCAUGACCGCACCCUGACCGCAGGCCCAUGGGGCGGAUUUCAUACCUUGUUGCGUGGGUUUUUUUUAUUUUUAGGCGUCUUUUUGUUCUUUUCUUUAUUUUUAGGGGCUUUAGUGCACUUUUUAUUUUUUCCGUGGCUUAUAUAUAUACUAUGAGAAACCUUAUUUUAUUAUGGGAUGAAUGAGAAUUCGUAUGCUUUCUUUU